UACGAGUACCCCAAGCGUUAUCCGGAAUCAUUGGGCGUAAAGGGUGUGUAGGUGGUUUGGUUAGUCUUCUGUUAAAACCUCGGGCUCAACCCGAGGCUUGCAGUGGAAACGGCCAAACUUGAGGAUGCGAGAGGUGAAUGGAACUCAUGGAGUAGGGGUGAAACCCGUUGAUAUCAUGGGGAACACCAAAAGCGAAGGCAAUUCACUGGCGCACAACUGACGCUGAGGCGCGAAAGCUAGGGGAGCAAACAGG
rnacentral:rRNA from 1 species